rnacentral:rRNA from 1 species
UACGGAGGGUGCAAGCGUUAUCCGGAUUCACUGGGUUUAAAGAGUGCGUAGGCGGUUCGGCAAGUUGGAAGUGAAAAUCCGGGGCUCAACCUCGGAAUUGCUUUCAAAACUGCUGAUCUAGAGUAUGGUAGGGGAUAGUGGAAUUCCUAGUGUAGGAGUGAAAUCCGUAGAUAUUAGGAGGAACACCAGAGGCGAAGGCGACUAUCUGGGCCAUUACUGACGCUAAGGUACGAAAGCGUGGGGAGCAAACAGG